GCUCUGAAGUCAGAAAAGAACUUUGACAUGUCAAAUUCAAACUGCGGUGACUUGUUUAUAUGCUUUAACGCCAGCAAUAAUUUAGAGACUGUUGUUUUGCCCGAACAGCCAGAGGGAAAUGUUUGGCUUCGUUUGGUCGAUACCUCCCUUGCAUUUCCAGGAAUCUUUUCAAAUAGUUGUGAUCCAAAUGUUCAGAAGGCUGAAGGAUCAUCUUCUUAUGAACUGAAGCCUCAUAGUUGUGCCUUAUUUGAAGCCACUGUGGAUUGAACUUUGUGCCUUAUUGUCUUAUAUAACAGCAGGAGUUUCUUGCUGUAUCUAUUGUCUCCUGUUAUCAAUAAAAUGAAGUAUCCUUUCUGUUAGCACUGAAUAAGUGCAAAUGUUUCUAAACCAUUUUAUUUCGCAUGCUUGUUUUUGUACAGUCUCUUAAUGUAUGAUUUUUGCAAUACAUCUUAUGAUAUGUCCAUAUUUUUAUGUGUUACCACACAACCAACUAUUUUGUUAAGGCUCUUCUUUAUCAGUAGCAUAUUCCAAACUUCAGCUUUUAAUUCAAAGCGGCAUGGUUUUAUUCUGAAAUCUGAUUUUUGUUCACUUCCAAUGUUUGAUUCUUUUUCCCUUCUUGUUUGAACUUUCUUAAUUGUAUAUUUUGCAAGACAUGAUUCUUCCUUUCUCCAUCAUUGUGUUAUAUCAUCAUCCUCUUGCUGUAUAUUGAAUCAUCAUCUGGAUAGUUAAAUUUCGUUUGUCAAAAACCAUUAUAUGGCACUAGUUUUACUGUUAGAUUUGGUUUCCUAUUUGACAUGCUCAACCAAAGAUUAGGAGGAGCAACAGUGCAAUCAUAAUAACGAAAACAAGUAUUUAAACACCAAUGGAAACUGUUGUUUUACUAAUAGUCAUGAACCAUGGAGAAAGCUUUAUUCUACAUUGUAUUGGUAGUUCAAGCAUAACUCAGAUUAUGAGUUAGUUUCCACUUUAGAAGUAGAAGAAGUUAAAAGAAAUUUUAUUCAAGAAGAUAAUUAGGUCAUUAUGAUGGAAAACUUGGACCAUAUUAUGCCGAGACAACAUCAUAUAUGAGAUUCAGGAAACCUGGCCCAUACUUGGGAGUCCCUUGACUAAUCUGAGAAUACUAUGAAUUGACUAGAGAGCAAGUGUAACAGAGAAGACAUCCAGAUUAAAUACAGAAGAAUACCCCAUACGCAUAAUAUCUAUUCUAGAGAAGGCAGCUAAAUGGAUCUUCCACAAAACUAUAGUGUUGCCAAAUUUUUCUCAGGAUGUUGACUAAAUCUUGUCUAGUUGAUCAAUUAAAAGUGCCAAGCCAUAUAGUCCACAGAGUAAUCAGUUAAACCCACCAAGGCCAAUAAUAGUUACAGUCCAAAAUGAUUGUCUAAGGAUUUCAAGUGUCAAUAAAUCUGAACUACAAAGUUUGGCUCUAAUGGACUGUCAAUGCUCAUAAUGACAUAUUCAGCAGUUUAAAACUAAGCCUUGGUUUGGGACCCAUAAUCUACUGUUUAGAAACAAUUGGACAAGAUCAAAUAUAGCUCAAAAGUUUACUAACAGUGUCAACUAUUUGGAAUUCGAUGAAAAAUUAAAAAGUAAUUUUGUUGAAGCUAGAAGAAUAAAAGGCAACCCAGCAUUGUUGCAAACAAAAAUCUGAUGAUGUACUAAAUGUUACAAUUGUUACCAAGAAGCAACAAACUAAAAUAUCUCAUAACAUAACACAGUAUUUAUUGAAAAUGGGAUUGGUGCCGUCAUAAUGCCCUUCGUUUGCAAUUAUUCUGGAAGGUAUACGUUGGAUCUGGAUUUUGAUUCAGCAAAGGCUCCCUUUUAUCUAUCAUUUAUGCUGCAUUUGUGUUCUGAUGCUGGUGUUGUUGCCUCGGAGAUUAAAACGCACAGAAAGACAAGAUUUUGUGUGCCUGUGGGUUUUGGCCCAGGAUAUCCUGCGUCCUUGGGUGCUUCUGUUUCCGAUGAUGGAAUGGUCAAUUUCUCUUUGUUUUUGAGGAAUGCUGAGAGCGUUUUCCUCUGCCUCUAUGAAGGGAAAACAGAGGUUCCAUCUUUAGAGAUCGAACUGGAUCCUUAUGUCAAUCGUACAGGUGAUAUCUGGCACGUCUCGAUGGAGAGCAUCGUGGACUAUGUGAGCUACGGUUAUCGUUGCAAAGGACCAGUAGAUAAAGAGGUGGAUUCAAUAUGCAGCAUGUGCUGUUGGAUCCGUAUGCCAAAAUGGUUCGAAAUCUUCUUUCUGUUCAGAGUGAUACAAUGACUCCAACCAAGUAUCUUGGUUCUUUGGAAAUAGAACCUAUAUUUGACUGGAGUGGUGAUGUUCAUCCGCGGUUGCCAACAGAGAAGCUCGUGGUUUACAGAUUAAAUGUGGGGCAGUUCACAAGAGAUAACUCGAUCGGUCUCCCAGAAGAUGUUGCUGGGACUUUCGGUGGUGUGAGUGAGAAAGUAGAGCAUUUUAAAGAACUUGGUGUCAAUGCAAUCCUGCUAGAGCCAAUAUUUCCCUUUGAUGUUAACAAAGGCCCUUACUUCCCCUAUCAUUUCUUCUCGUUAAUGGAUGAAUAUGGACGUGAACAUAAUGCUGCUUCAGCAAUCAAUUCUUUGAAGGGGAUGAUCAAGACGCUACAUUCCGAAUGUAUAGAGGUCUUGAUGGAGGUUGUUUUUACUCAGUGUUGAAGGUGGAGAUGCGGACUCCCAUGUGAUAUCAUUCCGAGGUAUUGAUAGUUCUUCCUAUUGCAUUGUUGACAAAAAUGUAGGAUCAGGAACCAAUAGUCUCCUGAAAUGCAAUAACCCCAUUGUUCAGCAAUUAAUAAUAGACAGCCUCCGGCAUUGGGUAGUCGAGUUCCAUGUAGAUGGCUUUUGCUUUAUUAAUUCUUCUUCAAUGGCUAGAGGACAGAAUGGGGAUCAUUUAUCUCGCCCACCUUUGGUGGAAGCUAUAGCAUUUGAUCCGGUACUUUCAAGGACAAAGAUUGUCGCAGACUGCUGGUCCCCGCUUGACAUGUCAUACAUGGAAAUCCAAUUUCCUCAUUGGAAAGCAUGGGCAGAGAUGAACAUGAGAUUUUGCAGUGAUGCAAAGAACUUUUUGAGAGGUGAAGGGCUCCUUAGCGAUCUUGCUACUAGACUUUGUGGCAGUGGUGAUCUAUUUUCUUCCGCGGGCCCAGCAUUUUCUUUUAAUUUUGUCGCAAAGAACUUUGGACUUCCUCUUGUUGAUUUGGUCAAAUUCAGCACUGCUGAGCUUGCUUCGGAAUUAAGCUGGAACUGUGGCGACGAAGGUCCAACAAACAAUAAUACUGUCCUUGAGACACGUCUUAAGCAGAUACGGAAUUUCUUGUUUGUCUUGUUUGUGUCACUCGGUGUUCCUGUUCUAAAUAUGGGGGAUGAGUGUGGCUACUCCACUGGUGGUUCUCCAUUGUAUGAUGACAGGAAGCCUAUCAAUUGGGAUAGCCUAGGAACCGGCUUCAGUAAGCAAAUUACAAAAUUUAUUGCAUAUCUGGGUUCACUUAGAAUCCCAAGAGGUGAUAUUUUUCAGAGCAAGCACUUUCUUAAAGUAGAAAACAUUGUUUUGUUUGGAAGUAAUCAAUCUGAGCCAAAAUGGGAUGACCCAACAUGCAAAUUUUUGGCUUUGGCUCUGAAGUCAGAAAAGAACUUUGACAUGUUAAAUUCAAAUGGCGGUGACUUAUUUAUAUGCUUUAAUGCCAGCAAUAAUUUGGAGACUGUUGUUUUGCCCGAACCGACAGAGGGAAAUGUUUGGCUUCGUUUGGUCGAUACCUCCCUUGCAUUACCAGGAUUCUUUUCAAAUAGUUAUGAUCCAAAUGGUCAGAAAGCUGAAGGAUCAUCUUCUUAUGAACUGAAGCCUCAAAGCGGCGUUUUAUUCUGAAAGCUGAUUUUUGUUCACUUCUGC
rnacentral:lncRNA from 1 species